GAAACGACUGCUAAGACUGGAUAGGAGAUAAGAAGGCAUCUUCUUAUUUUUAAAAGACCUAGUAAUAGGUAUGCUUAAGGAGGGGCUUGCGUCACAUUAGUUAGUUGGUAGGGUAAAGGCCUACCAAGACGAUGAUGUGUAGCCGGGCUGAGAGGCUGAACGGCCACAUUGGAAUUGAGACACGGUCCAAACUCCUACGGGAGGCAGCAGUAGGGAAUUUUCGGCAAUGGAGGAAACUCUGACCGAGCAACGCCGCGUGAACGAUGAAGUAUUUCGGUACGUAAAGUUCUUUUAUUAAGGAAGAAAAGAUGGUGGAAAAACCAUUAUGACGGUACUUAAUGAAUAAGCCCCGGCUAACUAUGUGCCAGCAGCCGCGGUAAUACAUAGGGGGCGAGCGUUAUCCGGAAUUAUUGGGCGUAAAGGGUGCGUAGGCGGUUUAAUAAGUUUAUGGUCUAAGUGCAAUGCUUAACAUUGUGAUGCUAUAAAAACUGUUUGACUAGAGUUGGAUAGAGGCAAGUGGAAUUCCAUGUGUAGUGGUAAAAUGCGUAAAUAUAUGGAGGAACACCAUGAGCGAAGGCGGCUUGCUGGGUCUUAACUGACGCUGAGGCACGAAAGCGUGGGGAGCAAACAGGAUUAGAUACCCUGGUAGUCCACGCUGUAAACGAUGAGUACUAGACGUUGGGUUAAACCAGUGUCGAAGUUAACACAUUAAGUACUCCGCCUGAGUAGUACGUACGCAAGUAUGAAACUUAAAGGAAUUGACGGGACUCCGCACAAGCGGUGGAUCAUGUUGUUUAAUUCGAAGAUACCCGAAAAACCUCACCAGGUCUUGACAUGCUUCUGCAAAGCUGUAGAAAUAUAGUAGAGGUUAUCAGUUGUACAGGUGGUGCAUGGUUGUCGUCAGCUCGUGUCGUGAGAUGUUGGGUUAAGUCCCGCAACGAGCGCAACCCUUGUUGUUAAUUGCCAUCAUUAAGUUGGGGACUUUAGCAAGACUGCCAGUGAUAAAUUGGAGGAAGGUGGGGAUGACGUCAAAUCAUCAUGCCCCUUAUGACCUGGGCUACAAACGUGAUACAAUGGCUGUUACAAAGGGUAGCUGAAGCGCAAGUUUUUGGCAAAUCUCAAAAAAACAGUCUCAGUUCGGAUUGAAGUCUGCAACUCGACUUCAUGGAGUUGGAAUCGCUAGUAAUCGCGAAUCAGCAUGUCGCGGUGAAUACGUUCACGGGGUUUGUACACACCGCCCGUCA
rnacentral:rRNA from 1 species